rnacentral:rRNA from 1 species
CCUACGGGGGACAGCAGUGGGGGAUAUUGCACAAUGGGGGAAACCCUGAUGCAGCGACGCCGCGUGGGUGAAGAAGCGCCUCGGCGCGUAAAGCCCUGUCAGCAGGGAAGAAAAUGACGGUACCUGAAGAAGAAGCCCCGGCUAACUACGUGCCAGCAGCCGCGGUAAUACGUAGGGGGCAAGCUGUAUCCGGCUUUACUGGGUGUAAAGGGGGCGCAGACGGCGAUGCAAGCCAGGAGUGAAAGCCCGGGGCCCCACCCCGGGACUGCUCUUGGAACUGCGUGGCUAGAGUGCAGGAGGGGCAGGCGGAAUUCCUGGUGUAGCGGUGAAAUGCGUAGAUAUCAGGAGGAACACCGGUGGCGAAGGCGGCCUGCUGGACUGCAACUGACGUUGAGGCCCGAAAGCGUGGGGAGCAAACAGGAUUAGAUACCCGAGUAGUC